GUAAAGGUUUUCUGGUGAAUAUCGGCAGAUAAAACAGUAACGGAAAUUGCUGCACUUUUUACCCAAUCUAUACGAUAAAAUACAGUGUCUUUAUUUUAAUUAAUAAAGUACGUGUUGAAAGUUACGUAUAGGUGUAAUAUACGCUGGAAUAUAUCGGAUCUGAUUCUGGGCGAUAUCGAUAUUUACUGCCUUCUGAAAACAAAUGUUCGUUGUCAUUUUUACGUGUUUCACUUAAUUUAUGCAGAAUUAACCGAUAACCAUGUUGGCUUGCUUUGACUUUCUACGGCAGUUAAUUAAACGUCCUAGGGAAGGAAAAACGAAAAUUACUUUUUUAAUUACCCUCACAUAGGCAAAGCUAGUCUAUUCAGUACAGCAGACGAUGAAGUUAACGUGAGCGAAGGACUUUUAUUCCGGGUCGAAGUUUUGUAAAGGAAAAAUGAAGAAUUUCAAGAGACGAAUCUGAGUCGCCGCUCGACGAUUGAACUGCGAACAACUCCUGCAAGACGAGAACGUGAUCGUGUACCCAAGAGUUCAGCAAACCGCUCCCAAGUAACAACUUGAAAACACUAUAACGUUCUGGAAACAUUCUGUAGCCUCAAAUAAAGUGGGACGAUAAAAUUGACUUAUUACCAGUCUCAAGAACAAAUUGUUAAUAAAUUAGAAAUAAAAGUUUCAUUUUGCUUUGAAAACUCCACUGUGUGUGCACUGUGGAGUGCCACCACCCUAUCGUUAGCGAAAUAUCGUAUAAAGGGUUAUUGCCUCUGGUUCAACAGAAUGCAUGAGAAACAUUAAAGUUUAACUGCCCGAUUUGAGCAGUUAAGACACUAGCGAAAAUUGCUGCACUUUUUCAUCAAUUCACACAAUAAAAAAAGUCUCUAUUUCUUUUUUCAAUUGAUAAAAUACAUAUUCAAAGUUACAGGUUUAAAAGACGUAUUAAAGGUUACAGGUUUAUAAAACUAAAUGCAAUAUCAUGAGCUGGUAUAUAUCGGAUCUGAAUCGAGGAGAUAUCGCUAUUUACUGCCUCCUGAAAACAAAUGUUCGUUGUCAUUCAGAGCGAGUUUCACUUAAUAUAUGCAGAAUGAACCGACAAGCAUGGAAAAACAAGGAAAAAACCAAAGAAAAACAAGGAAAAACCCAAAUUACCUUUUUUUUUUAAAUUUCCCUCAUAGCGGCAAAGCUAGGCAGGCUUAUUGUGCAAUAUCGAGAAGAGUGGGUGAAAUUGUUAUAACGCAAAUUUAAAUUCUAGUACCGACGAAAAAAACUUGCGGUAAAAUUUAAAUACUGUAAUAUAAUUCGACAGACUAUAACGAUUUUUUGGGCGCAGUCAGAUGGUGACCGGUAGUUUUUUGUUUUGUUUUUUUUUAAAUAAGGAAUUAACAAAAGAAAAUAUGGAACCACAUGGAACUAUAUAAACAUCACUGCAAAGAGUGCAUAUUAUUUUUCUGUUUUAUUUUAAAUUAUAAGAGAUUUUGGAUCAGUACAGAAGCUAGCUUAACCAUUCUUUACUGACGAGUGCUCACGACCCAAUUCCCUUUUACAAUACGAGUAUCAAGCAAUCAUAAGAAGAGAAAAUAAAACCGCAAAUUGUUGCAUUGAGGAAUAUUGGAUUGAUCACUUAACAAAUUCUCAAAACAAAGAGAGAACAAAGACAGAAUAAUUUUUAAAGCUUGGAACAUGCAGGUUCGAUUGUUAAAUAAUCCCUUCAUUACAAAAGCUAGCUUAACCAUAAUCAAUAUAAUAUUAUAAUAAUAAUAAGUAAAACGUAAAAUAAAAAUGGUCAAGUAGCACGUACCAUUUGACAUCUUAUUUUAGGUUGAUGCUCAAUUACUAGAGAGCCGAAAAAUAACCUGUGUUUAACUCUUUGUAAACAGAAAUAUUGUCAUCUGUUGUAGCUGUAGACAAAAAAGAAGUUUUUCAUCUUAGACAAAACACUGCGGUUGCGUAAUAUUAGCCGCUUCUGUUUUUAAACUACCAGUCUGAAAAUUGGUCAUUUUUAUCUGGGCAUCGUUUGAGGCACAUGGUAGAUUUUAGAUCGACUUUACAUUCUCGUAGAAGAAAGUUCGACGUGCGACAUGCUCUCUUGCAAGUCUUAUCAACCAGGCUUAUUGUUAUCCCUCUCAAACACUGUCAUACAAGACAGGUGAACAAACACAACAGCUCGGCAGUUGUUGUGUUAUAUGUCAAAACAGUUGACACAGCAAACGGCUCUCCUUGACUGUUUUACGCGUUACGUCCCAGUUUAAAAACCCUGUGGGUAAAAUGUUUGUGGUUAGGACCUUUGAAUUAUAAAAAUUCACUAACCAAUGAAACAAUAUACUAGAAAGACUAAAGUACAUGCACGCCAACAACGUUGCCGAGAGAAUCAUGAUAGUAGUGAAUUGUCCAAGAUCAGUUUCUCGCUUAUGACAACUCAGACUGGACGGGUUUUGCGGGAAACUCGUUCAAAUUUACCUGCAUCUUCGCAUUCGUCUGCGUCGACGAAUUCUGGUCCCUGCUAGACCAGAAACAUGUCGAAAUUUACACUAAGACCAGGGCUCCAGACAAAAGCGAAGCACUUUGUUAUUGCAACUUGGCGCCUCUAACCCGUCCUUAUUUAAAUUUUUAGAGCAAGUUUAAAUGAGUAUUUUGCAUCACGAAUUUCCAAUAGGACGCAAAACUCAUCGGACAGGUUACCGUUCUUGUCCUGUAAUGUGAAUACAACUAGUGUUGUGCAGCCGGCCUUUUUGUACAUAGCUAUCUUUUGGACGGUCGCGAUGGGGUUAACCCUUUAAACGGGCAAAAAAUUCAGUCGUAGGCUAAACACUGUUUUCUUUUUUUUUGCAAUUUAAAGCAGCAAAGGCCAUACAGCACGUUUGUUAUUUCUUCACAGGCAUAUAAAUCUAUUACUAUAGUAGUAAGAUAUCAGUCAAUAAUUUGGCAUCCUAGGCCGCCUUAAACACGUUUUACAGUAAUCAAAAUAAAUUUUCAACUUUUUAAAACAAUAAAAAAAAUGUUGACUUUGUAAAAUAGUGGUUGUUAAUUUUUAAGAAUUCUGUUAACUGUAAGGAAGGUAAAUUAAGCGUCAGCCGUUAAAAUGCCAAAUUAUUCACCGUUUGCUGUAAAAGGCACCACCCCAUUGAGAACCUCCUUGUGUUUUGACUGG